AAGAUUAAACUGAAGAGUUUGAUCAUGGCUCAGAUUGAACGCUGGCGGCAGGCCUAACACAUGCAAGUCGAGCGCGAAAACACUUCGGUGUGAGUAGAGCGGCGGACGGGUGAGUAAUGCUUGGGAAUCU
rnacentral:rRNA from 1 species